rnacentral:rRNA from 1 species
UACGAAGGGGGCUAGCGUUGCUUGGAAUCACUGGGCGUAAAGGGUGCGUAGGCGGGGCUUUAAGUCAGGGGUGAAAUCCUGGAGCUCAACUCCAGAACUGCCUUUGAUACUGAGGAUCUUGAGUACGGGAGAGGUGAGUGGAACUGCGAGUGUAGAGGUGAAAUUCGUAGAUAUUCGCAAGAACACCAGUGGCGAAGGCGGCUCACUGGACUGGUAUUGACGCUGAGGUGCGAAAGCGUGGGGAGCAAACAGG